ACGCACGCUGGCGGCGUGCUUCACACAUGCAAGUCGCACGGAAAGGCCUCUUUCGGGGGGUACUCGAGUGGCGAACGGGUGAGUAACACGUGAGUAACCUGCCCUUGACUUUGGGAUAACUUCAGGAAACUGGGGCUAAUACCGGAUAGGAGCUCCUGCUGCAUGGUGGGGGUUGGAAAGUUUCGGCGGUUGGGGAUGGACUCGCGGCUUAUCAGCUUGUUGGUGGGGUAGUGGCUUACCAAGGCUUUGACGGGUAGCCGGCCUGAGAGGGUGACCGGCCACAUUGGGACUGAGAUACGGCCCAGACUCCUACGGGAGGCAGCAGUGGGGAAUAUUGCACAAUGGGUGGAAGCCUGACGCAGCAACGCCGUGUGCGGGAUGACGGCCUUCGGGUUGUAAACCGCUUUCGCUCAUGACGAAGCUUUGUGUGACGGUAGUGGGUAAAGAAGCACCGGCUAACUACGUG
rnacentral:rRNA from 1 species